AGUGAACGCUGGCGGUAGGCCUAACACAUGCAAGUCGAACGGCAGCACAGUAAGAGCUUGCUCUUACGGGUGGCGAGUGGCGGACGGGUGAGGAAUACAUCGGAAUCUACUUUUUCGUGGGGGAUAACGUAGGGAAACUUACGCUAAUACCUCAUACGACUUACGGGUGAAAGCAGGGGAUCUUCGUACCUUGCGCGAUUGAAUGAGCCGAUGUCGGAUUAGCUAGUUGGCGGGGUAAAGGCCCACCAAGGCGACGAUCCGUAGCUGGUCUGAGAGGAUGAUCAGCCACACUGGAACUGGGACACGGUCCAGACUCCUACGGGAGGCAGCAGUGGGGAAUAUUGGACAAUGGGCGAAAGCCUGAUCCAGCCAUACCGCGUGGGUGAAGAAGGCCUUCGGGUUGUAAAGCCCUUUUGUUGGGAAAGAAAAGCAGCAGGUUAAUACCCCGCUGUUCUGACGGUACCCAAAGAAUAAGCACCGGCUAACUUCGUG
rnacentral:rRNA from 1 species